GCCCUGGUGGCACAGUGGUUAAGCACUUAGCUGCUAACCAAAAGGUUGGUGGUUCAAACCCACCCACGGUU
rfam:Loxodonta africana unplaced genomic scaffold scaffold_125, whole genome shotgun sequence.